AUUGAACGCUGGCGGCCGGCCUAACACAUGCAAGUCGUACGAGUGGCGGACGGGUGAGUAAUGUCUGGGAAACUGCCUGAUGGAUGGGGAUAACUACUGGAAACGGUAGCUAAUACCGCAUACCAUCAGAUGUGCCUAGAUGGGAUUGGCUUGUUGGUGGGGUAACGGCUCACCAAGGAGACGAUCCCUAGCUGGUCUGAUAGGAUGACCAGCCACACUGGAACUGGUGCACGGUCCAGACUCAUAGGGGAGGCGGCAGUGGAGAAUAUUGCACGAAGGGAGCAAGCCUGAUGCAGCCAUGCAGCGUGUAUGAAGAAGGCAAUAGGGUUGUAAAGUACUUUAAGCGGGGGGGCGUUACCCGCAGAAGAGGCACCGGCUAACGCCGUACCAGCAGCCACAGUAAUUC
rnacentral:rRNA from 1 species